GAUUAACGCUGGCGGCGUGCAUAACACAUUCAAGUCGAACGGUUGUAGCAAUACAACAGUGGCGGACGGGUGAGUAACGCGUGAGCAAUCUACCUUCGGGUGAGGGAUAACAACCGGAAACAGUUGCUAAUACCUCAUGACAUAUAGAUUUCGAGUGGGGUUUAUAUCAAAGGAUUGCUGCCCGAAGAUGAGCUUGCGUCUGAUUAGGUAGUUGGUGAGGUAACGGCCCACCAAGCCGACGAUGGGUAGCCGGACUGAGGGGUUGAACGGCCACAUUGGAACUGAGACACGGUUCAGACUCCUACGGGAGGCAGCAGUGGGGAAUAUUGGGCAAUGGGCGAAAGCCUGACCCAGCGACGCCGAGUGAGGGAAGAAGAUCUUCGGAUUGUAAACCUUAGUCAACAGGGGAGAAGAAAGUGACGGUACCUGUGGAGGAAGCCCCGGCUAACUACGUGCCAGCAGCCGCAGUAAAAC
rnacentral:rRNA from 1 species